rnacentral:misc_RNA from 1 species
GAGAAAACAAGGUUAUCAAAGUAUCUAAUAUAAGCAGUUAUAUGUGUUUGUGAAUUGGUCUUGUACUUUCAUACACAGCCUUGAAACACUAUGAACUUGACAAACCUACAAAAUACAAAAAAUAUGUGACACAACUGCUAAAGGGACUAUGGUAGCAGCCCUUUUAGCAUGAAACUAGUAUAUGCACACCACAAGUCAGAACGCAUGGCCAUUGCUCAGCCAUACCAACUCACACACCAAUCUUGGCAAUAACACGGAUGUCAACCCAGAGAUAACAAACUAAAACAGAUAUACAUUGAACUAUACACAGAUGAUAAUUUUUUAAAUGUAUGUAAGGACAACUGCCAUUGAAGACAUCAAUGUCACCACUAAUGUAAUCAGAGACGCCUCCCAUCGUGAACCGGCAUUUGGCAAGAAUGGAUAUGCAUCAGGAGGAGGCAUCACACAGUUGUCUCCAUUGAAAUAAAUUCUGUGAGGAAAAGCCCAACCCUUCUCAAAAGUGAAAGUUGAUGCAUCCUUCCGGAAUAGUAGCUCUGACUGGACAUUUCCUGAAGGACCUGCUUGCAUGAGCAGAUCAUUGUAGAACUUCACACCCCAUAGCAUAGCAGUGUCAUUGAUUGAUCCAUACGGAGUCAGUGACUUGUAAUUAAAGCUGAAUAAUGUAGUGAGGUUGUCAAAGUUUGGAUGUUGGACAACUAAGUUCCAUUGUGUAUAAUUCAUCCUGUAAUUGAAGUUUGUUAUAGUGAUCUUCACUCUCCAAUAUUCCUUGUAAUUGAGUUUCACAUGCCAAUGUAUCCUAAUUGGGCACAUAUGCUUUGUGCAUUGUACCAAAGGAACAUAAUUGUUCUUCCCAUGGUCUGAUACAACUGAAGCUAGGUGUGGCGUUUCUGGAUCUACACAACUCCCGCGCUGAGUGCCAUUACUCUGACAGCCACAAGUGCACGUCGGGCAGGGCACAAUCGUGUCAUUGUAGAAGGAUGAGAGGGACACACAACAUGUAGGAGUCUUUUGAGCUAGG